CAGAAAAUAGUUUAAAUAAAAACAUAAACUUUGGAAGUUUAAAAUGGAUAUAAUGCUUUUUCUGA
rnacentral:tRNA from 1 species